GACGAACCGAGCGAACGUUGUUCGGAAUCACUGGGCUUAAAGGGCGCGUAGGCGGGCGCUCAAGUCUGUGGUGAAAUCCUCCAGCUUAACUGGAGAAUUGCCAUGGAUACUGGGUGUCUCGAGGAAGGUAGGGGUAUGCGGAACGAUUGGUGGAGCGGUGAAAUGCGUUGAUAUCAAUCGGAACUCCGGUGGCGAAGGCGGCAUACUGGACCUUUUCUGACGCUGAGGCGCGAAAGCCAGGGGAGCAAACGGG
rnacentral:rRNA from 1 species